CACAUCAUGAAGGAGUAGACUAAAACCAGGUUCAGAUCCCUGUAUUGGAAAAGAAAAAGUAGUGUUUUUUGUUUGUUUGUUUGUUUGUUUGUUUGUUUUUACAGAUACUGGCAUUGAUAGAUUAAUUUGGUGAUAUAAAAAUCACAUCUGGCUGAGGCUCGCUGCGCCCCCUGCAGCCGCCCUGUGAACGCUGUCAGAGCCUCGUGUCUGUCCGCUGGUGGAGGUUGUGCUGCGUUUCAAUUUGCUGCCGAUACUAACGGCUCUGUGAUAAAUUCUCUGAGUAUCUCAGAGAAUGCACGGAUGGAACGUGCUGAAUUAAAGACAGCGUGAGCUGUUGUAAGGAAAGAAACUCCUGCUAAGAUGGAAGGAGAAACUAAAGUCUCUCUUCUACCCUGCAAGCCCGUGUCUCAGCUGUGGAGAAACUAGUUCAGUGGCUGAAAGAAAGAACUACCCUGCAGUGAGUCCAGAUGUUUCUACAGUCACUUUCCACCCCCCUCCCACCUAGGCUGGCUUUGAGUCCUCAGCUGCACUUCAUUGUUUCCUACAGCAUGGAACGAUAUGCAAUGAAAAUAAAAAGAGGUGACUCCCAGGAUAGGUGAGUUGAGCACA